AGAAUCAACGCUGGCGGCGUGCCUAACACAUGCAAGUCGCACGAGAAAGGGACUUCGGUCCUGAGUACAGUGGCGCACGGGUGAGUAACACGUGAAUCAUCUACCUUCGAGUGGGGAAUAACUGAGAGAAAUCUUAGCUAAUACCGCAUAAUACCUACGGGUCAAAGCAGCAAUGCGCUUGGAGAGGAGUUCGCGGCCGAUUAGUUAGUUGGCGGGGUAAUGGCCCACCAAGACGAUGAUCGGUA
rnacentral:rRNA from 1 species